GACUCUCCCACCCCAUGUGUACCUACCUCUGUUGCUUUGGCGGGCCGCGGUCCUCCGCACCGGCCUCCCUCAGGGGGCUGGCCAGCGCCCGUCAGAGGACCACAAAACUCCAGUCAGUGAACGUCGCAGUCUGAAAAGCAAGUUAAUGAACUAAAACUUUCAACAACGGAUCUCUUGGUUCUGGCAUCGAUGAAGAACGCAGCGAAAUGCGAUAAGUAUUGUGAAUUGCAGAAUUUAGUGAAUCAUCGAAUCUUUGAACGCACAUUGCGCCCCUUGGUAUUCCGAGGGGCAUGCCUGUUCGAGCGUCAUUUCAACCCUCAAGCUCUGCUUGGUAUUGGGCUCCGUCCUCUACGGACGCGCCUCAAAGACCUCGGCGGUGGCGUCUUGCCUCGAGCGUAGUAGAAAACACCUCGCUUUGGAGCGCACGGCGUCGCCCGCCGGACGAACCUUUGGAUCUUUCUCAAGGUUGACCUCGGAUCAGGUAGGGAUACCCGCUGAACUUAA
rnacentral:rRNA from 1 species